rnacentral:rRNA from 1 species
AUGAACGCUGGCGGCGUGCUUAACACAUGCAAGUCGAACGAUUAAAGCUCACUUCGGUGAGUGUAUAGAGUGGCGAACGGGUGAGUAACACGUGGGAAACCUGCCCCUUUCUUCGGGAUAACUUCGGGAAACCGUUGCUAAUACCGGAUACUCCGGGAUGGUCGCAUGGCCGACCCGGGAAAGCUUUAUGUGGAAAGGGAUGGUCCCGCGGCCCAUUAGCUUGUUGGUGGGGUAAUG